rnacentral:tRNA from 2 species
AAGAAAGUGGCAGAGUGGUUAUGUAGUUGGCUUGAAACCAUCGUAUGGGGGUUCAAUUCCCUCCUUUCUCG